CUUAUGAAAGAAAAUAAGGAUAAAAUGUAGAACAUGAAAAUGAACCAGUAAAAGAUGCCAGCAGUAUGAAUACUAGCAGUAUGAAGGUUCAGAGUGAUGAUGAUACAAAGAGUAAAGAAACACCCACUGACCGAACCACUGACACUGUUUCACAAGGUGAUAUGAAUGACAGCAAAGAAGAAAAACCAUGAAUAUUCGUAAGCACAAGUAUGAGACAAGGCAGCAGUUUACGGAGCAUGUCAAUCUAAUUGUUAACAAUUGCAUCACUUAUAAUGGAUUCAACUCUGAAUUAACAAAAA